rnacentral:rRNA from 1 species
GGGGGGGGGUGGGGGGGGGCGGGGCGCGUGCGGGUCGGGCGGGGGGGCCCUGCUUUUGUGGGGGGCUCGGGUGGCGAGCGGGUGGGUGACACGUGCGUCACCUGCCCUUGGCUUUGGGGUAACUUCAGGGCACUGGGGCUCCUACCGGGUCGGAGCUCCUGCUGCAUGGGGGGGGUUGGCACGUUUCGGCGGUUGGGGAUGGACUCGCGGCUUAUCAGCUGGUUGGUGGGGUAGUGGCUUACCACGGCUUUGACGGGUAGCCGGCCUGAGAGGGUGACCGGCCACAUUGGGACUGAGAUACGGCCCAGACUCCUACGGGAGGCAGCAGUGGGGAAUAUUGCACAAUGGGCGGAAGCCUGAUGCAGCAACGCCGCGUGCGGGAUGACGGCCUUCGGGUUGUAAACCGCUUUCGCCUGUGACGAAGCGUGAGUGACGGUAAUGGGUAAAGAAGCACCGGCUAACUACGUG